CGUCCUACGGGGGGCAGCAGUGAGGAAUAUUGGUCAAUGGGCGGGAGCCUGAACCAGCCAAGUCGCGUGAGGGAAGACGGUCCUACGGAUUGUAAACCUCUUUUGUCAGGGAGCAAUUGGGUCCACGCGUGGGCUUAGCGAGAGUACCUGAAGAAAAAGCAUCGGCUAACUCCGUGCCAGCAGCCGCGGUAAUACGGAGGAUGCGAGCGUUAUCCGGAUUUAUUGGGUUUAAAGGGUGCGUAGGCGGAAUAUCAAGUCAGCGGUAAAAAUUCUGGGCUCAACCCCGUCGUGCCGUUGAAACUGAU
rnacentral:rRNA from 1 species